UACGUAGGGUGCAAGCGUUGUCCGGAAUUAUUGGGCGUAAAGAGCUCGUAGGCGGUUUGUUGCGUCGGCUGUGAAAUCCCGAGGCUCAACCUCGGGUCUGCAGUCGAUACGAGCAAACUAGAGUGUUGCAGGGGAGACUGGAAUUCCUGGUGUAGCGGUGAAAUGCGUAGAUAUCAAGAGGAACACCUGAGGUGAAGACGGGUUGCUGGGCUGACACUGACGCUGAGGCGCGAAAGCCAGGGGAGCAAACGGG
rnacentral:rRNA from 1 species